GCGCCGAUUUCAUUAACGACAUUAUUCUCCUCCCUUCCACCAAAAACACCUUCACAUCAAGGUCUCAUUGAUGCUGUACAGUCAGUAGGGGGAGAUACAACAGUUUAUUUGAUCGGGUUUCCCUCUCUUUUGUUUAGUACGGUCUCGUACACUCUUUCUUGUAUUUUGUCUGUGUGCAUGACCAGAGUUUUUCUUACCCUCUUCAAGAAGCAUGUUUGAAGCUGCGUAUGGACUGUGCACAUAUUUAUUACUGUGUAUAGGGAUGGUGAUAUGUGUGAACGUUCAGCAAAACCUGACUCCCUUAUCAGUCAGCGAGACUGAUACAGCAGAGCUGACUUGCAGAUAUGACGACAGUGGCAAGCCAAAUAUGUUAUGGUAUCAACAAAAGAAUACAGCCAUGGCUUUAAUCUUGUUAAGUUAUGGUGUAGGUAGUGAACCCAACAAUGAGGAUGAAUUUCAAGGCCGGUUUAAAUUGGAAAGAACAGAAACAUUGAGUGGAGUUUUAAAAAUCUCUGAUCUCAGACUGUCAGACUCUGCUGUUUAUUACUGCGCUGUCAGUAUGCACAGUCCGUAAUCUUUAUUACCUGCCUGAUCAAAAACCAAACCACCAAACAGGAAAUAUGCAAAAAAAGCAAUCUAACAUUUAUGAGAUCUGAUUGCGUAGUUUAAUGAAAAUGCUUGUUUCAGCAUUUAAUUUCUACAUAAAAAUAUAGAUUUUUUUUUGUACAGUUUAUCAGUAUUUAAUAGAAAGCGCAUUCACAUAUAUGCUACGCUCCAAAACUGAGUAAAGGACCUUCCCAGAAAGCCUUUUAAAGCAAUGCAACAUAUACUUCACAGACAAUGCAAUACAAGUAUGCAUUGCAAUCUGUGAAACAUUGUUGUCAGUAAAUACUGAUAUCUGAUGCAAAAUAUCCAUUAAAUAAUUAAGCAAUAUAUCACCCUAGCAAGAGCAUUCUUGCUGCCUACUAUAGGUAUGUUGGUAAACUUAAACAUUUUAGAAUGUUGAUGAAUACUUUUUAUUUUUGUAUUUUUUUGUUCACACUCUGUUGACAAAGAUAGUUAUAAUAAUGGAUAAGCCAUAUUCACAGUCAGACAGGUUCACAAGUCUCUGAGGCCAGGUGUCAAGACUAAAUCCUGGCUCACACUCUGCAAGUGAUUUAGGUCUGUACUUGUCAGACUGUAUGAACAUGACAAACCGAUUUUAUACAGAAGCACAGGAAUCUUUUAGAAUUUUCCAAAUUUGUCUCGUGGAAUGUAGGGUGUGCUAUUUUUAUUCUCAUUAGAAUAUACACUCCCAAAGCAAGAAACAGCAGUAGCCGAACUAUCUUUACUAUGUUUUAAUUUUCAAACGUUACCUCCCAAAUAUCCCUAGCUGCCGACCAAAUAGGGAGCCGUAACACAAACAUAGUAUCCGUUGUUAAUCAAGUUGUGAGCUCAGUUGUUGUCUUUAUUUGUAACCAGUCUCUUAAAAGAACGCAGUUGUUUAUGGAGACAAGAUCUUUUGGUACAGAUGAAAAGUCCAUCUCUUUUCCCACCAAUGACUAAGAAACAAAGGGGUGUGGCUUCAUAAUAUAUGAACUACUAGGUUUUUUAGUUAACUGAACACUGGAGAACAUUUUGCAAAAAGAAACUCUAAAUGGACUCUUUUGUCUUCUAUUCACAUUGCUUUGCCUAAAAGGUAAUGCAUUUUAACCUGAAAUAAGACCUGACAGUGAUCUUUAUGUUUUAGAAUAAAUGUACUGUACAUUUCUAAUGAACGACAUGUCCUGUUUAUUACUAUAUCUUUGUAUUUCCAGCAGAUAUCAGCAGAACAAUACAGAUAUCUACAAAUACUGGUACAGACAAAUAAAAGGAGAGCUAGUGCUUGUUGGGAGCCACAUUGUUAACACUUCCUUGAAUGAGAGAGGUUUUGAGAAAGCUUUUGAAGUGUCAGGUACAGAGAAAAAAAAAUGGACCCUGAAAGUAGAUGUUAUAGAUGGGAUUGAGGCUGUGUAUCUGUGUGCAGCUAGAUUACACAAUGAAUAAAUGGCAUAAAUUAUACAAGAGAAACUCAACACACACCUGCCUCAACCACAAAUAAAUCAUCUCGUAUCUUUACAAUCAGCAGAACCUUACAACUCGUACAUACAAUUGCCUUAAUCAUGCUACACUUUUCUCUUCCGCCAAAAACACUUUCACAAAAGGGCCGGUUGAUGUAAUACAGUCAGUAGGGGGAGAUGUGACUGUCUAUUUUAAUGCUGAGGUAUUCUCUCUCACUUGUCAUAUUAUUUUUGCUGUGUGCAUGAUCAGAGUAUUGACUCUGUUUUACAAAAAUGUUCAGAACUGAAUAUGGAUGGUGCAUUUAUUUCUUAUUAUAUAUAGGUGUGGUGGGAUGCGUGACUGUUCAACAGAACCCAACAUCUCUGUUAGCCAACAAGAGUAAAAGUGUGGUGAUAAAGUGUAGUCAUGACGACAGUAACCUGGAUUGCAUGCAGUGGUAUCAGCAGAAGGAUACGGCCAUGGAUUUGAUUGUGUUCAGUUACAGUGCUACAAGCGAUCCCAGCUUUGAGGAUGGAUUUAAAGGCCGGUUUCAUUUGGAAAGAAAAGACGCACUGAAUGGAGUUUUAAAAAUCUCUGAUCUCAGUCUGUCGGACUCUGCUGUUUAUUACUGCGCUGUCAGUAUGCACAGUGCUGUAGUCUUUAUUACCUGCUUCACUAAAAACCAAACCACCCGACAAACAGGAAAUACAAUUUGAUAUU